GUAUGGCGUCCAGAAUGUGGAAAAAAGUCAUGAGUCGUACGUCAUCCAAAAUGUGGAAAAAAAGUCAUAGUUUAGUAUGUCGUCCAAAAUGUGGAAAAAAAACGUCAUAAUUUAGUAUGUCGUCCAAAAUGUCACAAUUUAGAAUGUCGUGCAAAAUGUGGAAAAAACGUCAUAGUUUAGUAUGUCGUCCAAAAUGUGGAAAAAAAAAAGUCACAUUUUCGUAUGUCGUCCAAAAUGUAGAAAAAAAAAUGUCAUAGUUUAGUAUGUCGUCCAAAAUGUCACAAUUUAGUAUGUCGUGCAAAAUGUGGAAAAAACGUCAUAGUUUAGUAUGUCGUCCAAAAUGUGGAAAAAAAAGAUGUCAUAGUUUAGUAUGUCGUCCAAAAUGUCACAAUUUAGUAUGUUGUGCAAAAUGUGGAAAAAACGUCAUAGUUUAGUAUGUCGUCCAAAAUGUCACAAUUUAGUAUGUCGUGCAAAAUGUGGAAUAAACGUCAUAGUUUACUAUGUCGUCCAAAAUGUGGAAAAAAAAAAUGUCAUAGUUUCGUAUGUUGCCCAAAAUGUGGAAAAAAAAAUGUCAUAGUUUCGUAUGUCGUCCAAAAUGUCACAAUUUAGUAUGUCGUGCAAAAUGUGGAAAAAACGUCAUAGUUUAGUAUGUCGUCCAAAAUGUGGAAAAAAAGUCAUAGUUCAGGAUGUCAUCCAAAAUGUCACAAUUUAGAAUGUCGUGCAAAAUGUGGAAAAAAACGUCACAGUUUAGUAUGUCGUCCAAAAUGUAGAAAAAAACGUCAUAGUUUAGUAUGUCGUCCAAAAUGUCACAAUUUAGAAUGUCGUGCAAAAUGUGGAAAAAACAUCAUAGUUUAGUAUGUCGUCCAAAAUUUUGAAAAAAGGUCAUAGUUUAGUAUGUUGUCCAAAUCGUGGAAAAAAAGGUCAUAGUUUAGUAUGGCGUCCAGAAUGUGGAAAAGUCAUAGUUUAGUAUGUUGUCCAAAAUGUCACAAUUUAGAAUGUCGUGCAAAAUGUGGAAAAAACGUCAUAGUUUAGUAUGUCGUCCAAAAACGUCAUAGUUUAGUAUGUCGUCCAAAAUGUGGAAAAAAUGUCAUAGUUUAGUAUGUCGUCCAAAAUGUGGAAAAAAAGGUGAUAGUUUAGUAUGUCGUCCAAAAUGUCACAAUUUAGAAUGUCGUGCAAAAUGUGGAAAAAAACGUCAUAGUUUAGUAUGGCGUCCAGAAUGUGGAAAAAAGUCAUGAGUCGUACGUCAUCCAAAAUGUGGAAAAAAAGUCAUAGUUUAGUAUGUCGUCCAAAAUGUGGAAAAAAACGUCAUAGUUUAGUAUGUCGUCCAAUAUGUCACAAUUUAGUAUGUCGUGCAAAAUGUGGAAAAAACGUCAUAGUUUAGUAUGUCGUCCAAAAUGUGGAAAAAACGUCAUAGUUUAGUAUGUCGUCCAAAAUGUCACAAUUUAGUAUGUCGUGCAAAAUGUGGAAUAAACGUCAUAGUUUACUAUGUCGUCCAAAAUGUGGAAAAAAAAAAAUGUCAUAGUUUCGUAUGUUGCCCAAAAUGUGGAAAAAAAAAAUGUCAUAGUUUCGUAUGUCGUCCAAAAUGUCACAAUUUAGUAUGUCAUGCAAAAUGUGGAAAAAACGUCAUAGUUUAGUAUGUCGUCCAAAAUGUGGAAAAAAAGUCAUAGUUUAGUAUGUCAUCCAAAAUGUCACAAUUUAGAAUGUCGUGCAAAAUGUGGAAAAAAACGUCACAGUUUAGUAUGUCGUCCAAAAUGUGGAAAAAAAGGUCAUAGUUUAGUAUGUCGUCCAAAAUGUCACAAUUUAGAAUGUCGUGCAAAAUGUGGAAAAAACAUCAUAGUUUAGUAUGUCGUCCAAAAUUUUGAAAAAAGGUCAUAGUUUAGUAUGUUGUCCAAAUCGUGGAAAAAAAGGUCAUAGUUUAGUAUGGCGUCCAGAAUGUGGAAAAAAGUCAUAGUUUAGUAUGUUGUCCAAAAUGUCACAAUUUAGAAUGUCGUGCAAAAUGUGGAAAAAACGUCAUAGUUUAGUAUGUCGUCCAAAAACGUCAUAGUUUAGUAUGUCGUCCAAAAUGUGGAAAAAAUGUCAUAGUUUAGUAUGUCGUCCAAAAUGUGGAAAAAAAGGUGAUAGUUUAGUAUGUCGUCCAAAAUGUCACAAUUUAGUAUGUCGUGCAAAAUGUGGAAUAAACGUCAUAGUUUACUAUGUCGUCCAAAAUGUGGAAAAAAAAAAAUGUCAUAGUUUCGUAUGUUGCCCAAAAUGUGGAAAAAAAAAAUGUCAUAGUUUCGUAUGUCGUCCAAAAUGUCACAAUUUAGUAUGUCAUGCAAAAUGUGGAAAAAACGUCAUAGUUUAGUAUGUCGUCCAAAAUGUGGAAAAAAAAUGUCAUAGUUUAGUAUGUCGUCCAAAAUGUGGAAAAAACGUCAUAGUUUAGUAUGUCGUCCAAAAUUUUGAAAAAAGGUCAUAGUUUAGUAUGUUGUCCAAAUCGUGGAAAAAAAGGUCAUAGUUUAGUAUGUCGUCCAAUAUGUCACAAUUUAGUAUGUCGUGCAAAAUGUGGAAAAAACGUCAUAGUUUAGUAUGUCGUCCAAAAUGUGGAAAAAACGUCAUAGUUUAGUAUGUCGUCCAAAAUGUCACAAUUUAGUAUGUCGUGCAAAAUGUGGAAUAAACGUCAUAGUUUACUAUGUCGUCCAAAAUGUGGAAAAAAAAAAUGUCAUAGUUUCGUAUGUUGCCCAAAAUGUGGAAAAAAAAAUGUCAUAGUUUCGUAUGUCGUCCAAAAUGUCACAAUUUAGUAUGUCAUGCAAAAUGUGGAAAAAACGUCAUAGUUUAGUAUGUCGUCCAAAAUGUGGAAAAAAAGUCAUAGUUUAGUAUGUCAUCCAAAAUGUCACAAUUUAGAAUGUCGUGCAAAAUGUGGAAAAAAACGUCACAGUUUAGUAUGUCGUCCAAAAUGUGGAAAAAAAGGUCAUAGUUUAGUAUGUCGUCCAAAAUGUCACAAUUUAGAAUGUCGUGCAAAAUGUGGAAAAAACAUCAUAGUUUAGUAUGUCGUCCAAAAUUUUGAAAAAAGGUCAUAGUUUAGUAUGUUGUCCAAAUCGUGGAAAAAAAGGUCAUAGUUUAGUAUGUCGUCCAAUAUGUCACAAUUUAGUAUGUCGUGCAAAAUGUGGAAAAAACGUCAUAGUUUAGUAUGUCGUCCAAAAUGUGGAAAAAAAAA